CAGCUCCUCUGUGAGGUGGUCAGAGAAAGCAUAAAUAUCUCCAUUUUGCAGAUGAAGAAACUGAGGCUUGUUCUAAAGAAAAGGGUCAAAGGGGAAGCAAUUCACUAAUUCAGUGUGACCCCCCCACCCCAUGCUAUUACCCGCUGGGUUACAUAUAAAAAAAUAAAACGCAUAUCCUGUCACUGCCAGUGCCCAAGACAAAGCCUUCCCCUCCCACCCCCCUCACCCACACCUGUCUUCUGCUACCCUGGCCAUGAACUCACCGGUCUGGCCCAUGAAGACAUUUGAGCCCAUGACCUACAAGGAAAGGUAAUGAAUAGAGGUUCAGUUCCACAAGGUCACAUGUGCCAGAACUUGCAUUUGGGCCUUCAUAGACACGACCUCAUUUUAUCCGCACAACAGCCCCGCAAAGGAGGCUCUGCGAUGCCCACCUUGCGGCUGCCGCCUUCCUUUUCCAUCCUUCCCCACAGGUUCGGGAUGGGGAAGUAGCAGGACUAAAAGAUAAACCCUGGCCAUUUGAUUCUGAAUUCUCAGGUAAUCUUUCUAACAUACUCCUCUGUCUCCAAGGAAGCAAAGUAAAGCUAGGAUGGUGAUGGAUCCUUGGGAGCCUCUCACAGCCUUUAUCGCAUUUAAUCCUGCACCAAAAAAACUCAGCAUGAUCACACUUUUAGAGACGCAGAGACUGAGACCCAGGGAGUGCAUUUGCUUAACCAAGAUCACAUGCACAGAGAACUGCAGAGCCAGGAUUUGAACCCGGGUUUGGUUCUAGGACAGCAGGGCAGCUCCACGGAAGGGCCUUACCAGACAGCAAGCCAGGAUGCUCCAGGCCCAUCUCCCAGGCUCCACACCAGCAAGGCUCACAAGGGCCUGACCCUGGGAGGAAGUGGCCGCCCCAUGGCCAGGCCUCCACAAAGGGCCCCCACGAGGGCUAAAUCACCUGACAAUAGGAUGAAGCCCCCAAAGCCCCAAAUCUUUUAGGGGGAAAAAAAAUCUGUAUUUUAUAUGAAUGCACUGGGGCAUUUUGAUUUCAAGGAAGUGGGGGUUGAGUGCAUUCCUUCAUUUCACAGGGGGUCCUGAACCAACCGGCAAAGGGGAAAGAUCGAAGAGCACCAACCAAGAGAACACAAGGUUCAAGCCGGACACCCAGUGCCAGUGCUGAAGAAAAUGACAAGCAAAGCUGCAGAAACAGAAGGAAGGCUGGUGGUUGCCAGGGGCUAGGAAGGGGAGAUGGGGAGUGACUGCUAGUGGAUGCAGGGUUUCCUUUUGGGUGACGACCUCUUGGAACUAGACAAGGUGAUGCAUGCACAACACUGUGAAUGUACUAGAUGCCACUGAACGGAGGUUAACGGUGAAUUUUGUGUUCUGUGAAUUUUACCUCGAUUUUUAAAAAGGGGAGGAGCAAAAGGCAAGUUGCAUGUGUCGAGCAGGGUCUGCACAAAGAUGAUGCCUCCUAAGUGUCUGUUAGCUGCAGCUGGUCCUCUUGCAAUGGAAGCUCUGGAUAUGGAAACAGAGGAUGCUCAGCACCGGAGUAGGGUGCAUACACGUGUGCACAAGUUCACUUAGUAAGUGUGUGUGCAUGUGUUUAUACAGCGGGCAGAGGGGAUGGCUGCAGAAUUAAAUUUUGAUAGCUUGAUUCUUUAGUUUUGCAGCCUGUUACACCUUCCAAACUGGCCAGCAGUAAUAAUAACAACGGGAGCAAGGACAAUGAUAACGUCAUGGUAUGAUUAUUAUUAAAUAAGGGCAGGCACUACUGACUAAGAGAGCGCUGGGAGCCAGGCAUCCUGAGCAUCAUUGCAUUUAAUGAUCACAACAGCCCAGGAAAAAGGGAUGCUUUCCUCUUUGCAGGUUGAGGAAACUGACACUCACAAGGUUAAGGUUUGUCUAAGGUCACACCUUAAUAAUGACAGAGCCGGGAUUUUAAUCACGUCCUUUGACUGAUGUCUGCGAUUGGAGGAAGGACAGAGAGUUAUAUUUAAUGUUUCUAAUUGUGGACAUAGCCUUAAAAUACACGAAAGCAUUUUGAAAAGACACAUAAUCGCAUGAGCCAGAAAUAACCACUAUUAGCACUGUGAUGCGUUCAUUUCUAAUUGUUUCUAUAUUUUCUAUAGUUAAAACAAAGCGAUGGAUGCAAUUCCAUAUUUUGGGUUCUUCCCUUUAUAUUGCACUA
ensembl:lncRNA